GCCGGGCGCCAACGGCUCCGCGGAUCCGCGCGGGGAGGGGGCGGACGCCCGGCCUGCUUUGCGCGCCCCGCCGCCGCUGAGCCUGCUGGGAUUUGGAGUUCUGGCCUUGCCCAGCGCCUUCAUUCAUUCAACGACCACAAGGUUGGGGUCUGCUGCUGAAAGUCGCAUCCAGCCUCCCGAAAGUAGGUUGGGAUGGUGUUUGUGCCCUCUCUCUACUCUUGCCUCUUCACUGAUCCCUGGUCCACACAUAUGGCUGACUGGCAGUAAUAGCUGCGCCCGCAAGAAGAAGAGGGAGCGAGCAGAUGAUACUUGGCUGCCCUGUAUGCCGGAGCCGGUUUCUAACGCUUCGCUGGAUUCGGGACAGUGAUUUCCAGUAACUGAGUUUCCUGAAAGGGAAAGAAAACAUGGAGCAAGUGAAAAUACCGUUCUGAGAAGAAAGCGUCGAACAGAACCUGUUUCUGAGCCAAGCCGGGAACAUUCAGGAUUGAUUUGUUGAUUUGGGUGAUGAUAAAAAUGGUCCCAUUUUCUUUUCUUUUUUUUUCAUCGAGUUCUCUGCUUUCAAGCCCUCUGGCUAGUGCUUGGAUUUGAACAGAUUGCAUUUGAAAUAAGGGAAUUCGGGCUAUUUUCUAGGAUUCUGUGCAUGAAGAAACAUAAAGGCAUACACUUAUUCCUACUGCUGUUUGUCCCAAGAAUUGAAUCUUAAAAUUAAAAUUAAAGGUUUAUGUUGCAGCUUGAA